UUACUACAAAUUUCCCAUUCUUGCUCUUGGGAUUUUUUCCCAUCAAUUAAUACACCAUCUCUUCUUCUAUCUUUCCCUUGCAAUUCAACUCAACUCAACCACACCCUUUCUCUAUCUACCUCCACCUCUCACCUUAAUUUAUUGAGCAUUAAAGCAAUCCCUCUAUAUAUACAUAUGAUGCUACUGAUUCUACUCCUAACACAACUCUCCACCACCUUAAGGCAUAAGGGUUGAAAGGGAGUAGUAAAAAGGAUGAGUGUGAAUGGAGCAAAGCUGGAGCUGAAGUUGAACUUGUCUCCACCGAGGACGACCUCAUGCGCCUCGGUGAACCAGCAGGAUGAGCAGCUCUGCUACUCAACUAGCCCGACCGCAAAGAUGAUGAUGCUGGUGGGAUGCCCUCGGUGUCUCAUGUAUGUGAUGCUGUCGGAGGAGGAUCCGAGGUGUCCCAAAUGCAAGAGCUCUGUUUUGCUCGACAUCAUGCACACCUCUGCCCCAAAAACCAACAGGAGUUGAUCCAAAAACAGAAAUAAGGAUCAAAGUAGAGGUAGUUAGCACUUGUGGAGCCUUAAUAGUGCUGUUUUUUUUUUUGGUUUCUUUCUUUUUGUUUAGUUUUCAUCCAUUUCCAGUAAGUCAUGGUCUCAUGGCUAUGCAUAAGAAGAAUGAGUCUAAAGUUCUCUUGUAACAAAUUUAAUGUAAUUUCUUUCCUGCA